rnacentral:rRNA from 1 species
UACGGGAGGCAGCAGUGGGGAAUAUUGCACAAUGGGCGCAAGCCUGAUGCAGCCAUGCCGCGUGUAUGAAGAAGGCCUUCGGGUUGUAAAGUACUUUCAGUCGUGAGGAAGGUGUUAAGGUUAAUAACCUUAGCAAUUGACGUUAGCGACAGAAGAAGCACCGGCUAACUCCGUGCCAGCAGCCGCGGUAAUACGGAGGGUGCGAGCGUUAAUCGGAAUUACUGGGCGUAAAGGGCACGCAGGCGGUUAAUUAAGUUGGAUGUGAAAUCCCCGGGCUUAACCUGGGAAUGGCAUUCAAGACUGGUUAGCUAGAGUCUUGUAGAGGGGGUAGAAUUCCAUGUGUAGCGGUGAAAUGCGUAGAGAUGUGGAGGAAUACCGGUGGCGAAGGCGGCCCCUGGGACAAAGACUGACGCUCAUGUGCGAAAGCGUGGGGAGCAAACAGGAUUAGAUA